UCAAAAUAUGAUUAGUUUAUCAAAGAUAGAAACUGACCAUCUUUCUGAAUACUGGAACAUCAUGGUUAGAAUCUUCGAAGUUUUUCUUAUUUCACAAAUCUAGAGUUAAUAGUUCAGAGGAUCGUGCUUCCUUAUUUGAUCAAACAACAAAAGCUGCAUCAUAUUCGAUCAAGUUGUGUGUUCCUCCUUCAUCUCCUAAGGUUCUUUAAAAUUUCUCAAAGGCGAGGAUAUUUGCUAUUUGGCUACAAAACAAGAUAACGAGUCCAUGGAUUGUUGGCAGUUGGCAUGAAGGCUUCGCUUCCUUCCCUUUGCGUGGAAUUUUAUUGCAGGAUCACCUCUCAUAGUAGCACUACUCAGGAAAUUAACAUAUUAUUUCUGUUGUUUUUCCCGUUGCAUGAUGAAUACUGACGAUAUGAGAGGUUUUGGCAUGAUUUGUCGAGAAAUAAAGAAACUCCAUGAUAAAUUGCCAUGGGCACGAGGACGGUGUGUUCUUCAAGUGGUUUACUUGCUAUGCUCAAUACUUCCAGAUUUUUGGUUUACAUGUGAUGCUUGAAUAUUUGAAGGGAAAGUAACGGAUGUAGCAGCACUAAGACAACUUAAUCUUGCGGAGUCUCCUUCUUGGGGUUCUCGAAGCAUAGACUGUUCGAUAAAUUGGAACAGAUCCUUUUUUUUUAAGCACAAUUGGAGCAGAUCAGUAAAGGCACGCAUAGGUAAGUCUGAACUCUUUUAGGAAAUAUCUAAAUUUUGGAGUUGGUGGUAAAGUAGUUUAGAUGGUCUACCGUUUAUUUUUC